rnacentral:rRNA from 1 species
GACGAACGCUGGCGGCGUGCCUAAUACAUGCAAGUAGAACGCUGAAGGAGGAGCUUGCUUCUCUGGAUGAGUUGCGAACGGGUGAGUAACGCGUAGGUAACCUGCCUGGUAGCGGGGGAUAACUAUUGGAAACGAUAGCUAAUACCGCAUAAUAGUAGAUGUUGCAUGACAUUUGCUUAAAAGGUGCAAUUGCAUCACUACCAGAUGGACCUGCGUUGUAUUAGCUAGUUGGUGGGGUGACGGCUCACCAAGGCGACGAUACAUAGCCGACCUGAGAGGGUGAUCGGCCACACUGGGACUGAGACACGGCCCAGACUCCUACGGGAGGCAGCAGUAGGGAAUCUUCGGCAAUGGACGGAAGUCUGACCGAGCAACGCCGCGUGAGUGAAGAAGGUUUUCGGAUCGUAAAGCUCUGUUGUAAGAGAAGAACGAGUGUGAGAGUGGAAAGUUCACACUGUGACGGUAUCUUACCAGAAAGGGACGGCUAACUACGUG